GAGAUGAGAAUGUGCCUUCGGGAACCGUGAGACAGGUGCUGCAUGGCUGUCGUCAGCUCGUGUUGUGAAAUGUUGGGUUAAGUCCCGCAACGAGCGCAACCCUUAUCCUUUGUUGCCAGCGGUCCGGCCGGGAACUCAAAGGAGACUGCCAGUGAUAAACUGGAGGAAGGUGGGGAUGACGUCAAGUCAUCAUGGCCCUUACGACCAGGGCUACACACGUGCUACAAUGGCGCAUACAAAGAGAAGCGACCUCGCGAGAGCAAGCGGACCUCAUAAAGUGCGUCGUAGUCCGGAUUGGAGUCUGCAACUCGACUCCAUGAAGUCGGAAUCGCUAGUAAUCGUGGAUCAGAAUGCCACGGUGAAUACGUUCCCGGGCCUUGUACACACCGCCCGUCACACCAUGGGAGUGGGUUGCAAAAGAAGUAGGUAGCUUAACCUUCGGGAGGGCGCUUACCACUUUGUGAUUCAUGACUGGGGUGAAGUCGUAACAAGGUAACCGUAGGGGAACCUGC
rnacentral:rRNA from 1 species